GGAAACUUUCUACUAUCAUUCUUUACCUCCCAGAUGCAUCAUAUGUGUGCUAUUAAAUCUCCCUAUAUUAAUCACACAUUGUCUUCAAAAAAUUUUAGGCCCAUCAUUAGUGAUAUCUACUUCCACCAUUUCCUCUGUAUUAUUCUUCAACCCUCCCGUCUUUAAAUUAUUAAAAAUAACAAACCUAUUUUCUUUCCCCAUCUCUCAACGUGAAUCAUGAGAUCUAUUACCCAAAAUUCUCGGUUUCCUUCGUAGGCAUUGUAUAAGAAUCC
rnacentral:lncRNA from 1 species